UGGUUCUGGCAUCGAUGAAGAACGCAGCGAAAUGCGAUAUGUAAUGCGAAUUGCAGGAUUCAGUGAAUCAUCGAAUCUUUGAACGCACAUUGCGCCCAUUAGUAUUCUAGUGGGCAUGCCUGUUCGAGCGUCAUUUCAACCCCUAAGCACAGCUUAUUGUUGGGAAUCUACGGCUUCGUAGUUCCUCAAAGACAUUGGCGGAGCGGCAGUGGUCCUCUGAGCGUAGUAAUUUUUUAUCUCGCUUUUGUUAGGCCCUGCCCCCCCGGCCGUAAAACCCCCCAUUUUUUCUGGUUGACCUCGGAUCAGGUAGGAAUACCCGCUGA
rnacentral:misc_RNA from 1 species